GGGGCCAGCCCCGAGUCCGUCCACAAGGAUGAAGUGUGUGUGUGUGUGUAUAGUGGAUGUAGAAUAUGUGUCAUGGAUGCAGUGUGUAUGGUGGAUGUAGAAUGUGUGCAGUGGAUGCGGUAUGUGUGUCAUGGAUGCAGUGUGUAUAGUGGAUGCAGAUUGUACGUUGUGUGUAAUGUAUGUAAUGUUUGUAUGCAUGCAUUAGAUGCAGAGUGUGU